UACGGGGGGAGCAAGCGUUGUUCGGAUUUACUGGGCGUAAAGGGCGCGUAGGCGGCCAGCACAAGUCAGUUGUGAAAUCUCCGAGCUUAACUCGGAAAGGUCAACUGAUACUGUGCGGCUAGAGUGCAGAAGGGGCAACUGGAAUUCUUGGUGUAGCGGUGAAAUGCGUAGAUAUCAAGAGGAACACCUGCGGCGAGGGCGGGUUGCUGGGCUGACACUGACGCUGAGGCGCGAAAGCUAGGGGAGCGAACGGG
rnacentral:rRNA from 1 species